rnacentral:rRNA from 1 species
UACAGAGGGUGCGAGCGUUAAUCGGAAUUACUGGGCGUAAAGCGUGCGCAGGCGGUUUUGGAAGUCUGUCGUGAAAGCCCCGGGCUCAACCUGGGAAUUGCGAUGGAGACUGCAAGGCUUGAAUCUGGCAGAGGGGGGUAGAAUUCCACGUGUAGCAGUGAAAUGCGUAGAGAUGUGGAGGAACACCGAUGGCGAAGGCAGCCCCCUGGGUCAAGAUUGACGCUCAUGCACGAAAGCGUGGGGAGCAAACAGG